UGCGGCUGGAUCCCCUCCUUUCUAGGGAGUUAUCCCUUGAAUGUCGACCGGGCUCCCCAGUGGCAUAACGCCGCUGGGAACGCUGCUCAUUUUUGAGAGACCGCCGGCAGAGACCCUGCCGUGCGCGCCUCGGUGGACCUUGAAAACUGUACAAGGCCAAUAUGGGUAUUUAAUUGUGACCCGUACGUUUCGGCGUGCGGGUUAUCACCGUCAAGAUGUUAAGGGCUUACGGUGGAUGCCUUGGCA
rnacentral:misc_RNA from 1 species